GACAGAGGGUGCAAACGUUGUUCGGAAUUACUGGGCGUAAAGCGAGUGUAGGCGGUUCGGUAAGUCGGAUGUGAAAGCCCCGGGCUCAACCCGGGAAGUGCACUCGAUACUGUCGGGCUUGAGUACGGAAGAGGCGAGUGGAAUUCCUGGUGUAGCGGUGAAAUGCGCAGAUAUCAGGAGGAACACCUAUUGCGAAGGCAGCUCGCUGGGACGUUACUGACGCUGAGACGCGAAAGCGUGGGGAGCAAACAGG
rnacentral:rRNA from 1 species